UACGUAGGGGGCAAGCGUUGUCCGGAAUCAUUGGGCGUAAAGAGCGCGUAGGCGGCCAGAUAAGUCCGGUGUGAAAGUCAAAGGCUCAACCUUUGAAUGCCGCUGGAAACUGUCUGGCUAGAGUCCGGGAGGGGCGAGUGGAAUUCCUGGUGUAGCGGUGAAAUGCGCAGAUAUCAGGAGGAACACCGAUGGCGAAGGCAGGUCUCUGGGCCACUACUGACGCUGAGAAGCGAAAGCAUGGGGAGCGAACAGG
rnacentral:rRNA from 1 species